CAUCGUCCGCGGCCGCGGGGCCGGGAAAAGUUUGCGGCGCGUCCGCGGGGCCCCGACCAGCGGGGACUCUGGGGCGCGUCGUCGGCGGGAGCGCGCUGACUGUACAAGUUGUCUCUGGGAGCAGAUUUCAGAGCAAAAGUGAUCUACGAAAGCAGCGUGUUCCGGACGCGCAGGCUCAGCGGCCAUGGCUCACGGGCCCAGCCACUCCGCGGCAUGUGGGAUCUUCCCGGACUGGGGCACCAACCCGUGUCCCCUGCAUCAGCCGGCGGACUCUCAACCACUGCGCCACCAGCGAAGACCCGAGAGUAGAGACCUUUUAAUGUAAAUUAAAACCAAGUAGAUUGGGGAUUCAUCAGCACAAACACUAAAUGUGAACUUACUGUCCCCAAUUCAGGGCCCUACGUGGUUGGAGAAAUUAAUGAACUCCUUCAAGUACCCUAACAACUCUGAGUAAAAUCAGAAUCUCUCCCCAGCUCCCAUUUCAAAAACGACAGCAUGAGCUCUCAGGAUAUGCGAUACCUUACUGGAAAGUGUGUUGGAAAACGUUAAAGCUUAUACCGUGUGAUAAUGUGUCAUAAGCUCGUUAGUGGCAGUGUGCUUCCUUGCAGGGACUGAACUACCAUUUCUGCAUUUUGGAUUCAGUGUUUUUAGCUAAAGAGUUAAACUCUUGAAAAGAGCAAAUGCUUCUACCAGUGAAGGAAAACGUGUGUAAAAGCUAAAGAGAUGCCUGCAGUUAAGUAUGUAAAUAAAUGUCUCAACGCCAUGAAAGAGUGGCACUUGCAGUCAAGAUUCCCGCGGUAGAAAUACAUUGAUUUGCAGCAUGUGUGAUGUUGAUGAGUAGAAACAUUAUGGCCCUGUUGACAUGAAGAUUUGCACUGAGUGUAAGCAUGCUGCCAGAUGAGCCAGAGAAUUGCUAGAAGUUGCAAGUUCAGAAAUUCAGCUUCGAGUAUUCAUGUUUUGCACAAAACAGAUCUUUCUAAGUGCAUAUUAAGGAAGUGAUUUUGCUAAAUUCCUUACUGAUUAAUGAUCUUGUUAGAUUAAAAUGAUCUUUGGAACUACAGUCUUUCAACUAUGGAAUGCCCAUCUGGAAAAUUUAAUUUUGAAAGUUACUCUUUUUCAUGUACUCUCAGGGGUCUUCUUGGCCAUGUCAGAUAUAUAGUUGUCUUUUUCCAGUCCUCAUUCUACUCUCUUACCACAGUAAGUAAGUAAAUAUUUCACUUAAAAUAAGUUGUGACAGUCAGAUAUUGAAUAAGAAAUUAGGAACUCUGCGUACUGUUUGUUCAGAAUAAAGCAGCAGUAUCUUGACCUAAUCCUCUAAUCUUUCUACUCUUUUUUUUUUUUAACAUCUUUAUUGGAGUGUAAUUGCUUUACAGUGGUGUGUUAGUUUCUGCUUUAUAACAAAGUGAAUCAGCUAUACGUAUACAUAUAUCCCCAUAUCCCCUCUCUCUUGCGUCUCCCUCCCUCCCACCCUCCCUAUCCCACCCCUCUAGGUGGUCACAAAGCACCGAGCUGAUCUCCCUGUGCUAUGUGGCUGCUUCCCACUAGCUAUCUGUUUUCUGCGCUGAUGUGAUUGAUUCCUUGUAACUUGCUCCUAAAUCUCUGAGUAAUUAAAAAUAAAUCGUCAUGAGUUAUUACAAAUUCUAAAAAUCUAAGGUUGUUUUAAUAGUAUAAAUUGGAUUUGUCAAAAUGUAAUUUACUGAAAUAUAACUGAUCUCUUUUUUGGUAUAGAAAAGAAUCUAUUGAUAUUGUUGGUACAAGUUUGCUUCUCAUUGAAUGUGUGUGAUGUGCUAAUAGCUAAUUAAAGCCGACUUUGACAGCUCACUCAGUUUCCCAGCUGGGAUAGCACCAGGAGGAGUGCUGGCAGAAGUUAGGCUUAGGGUCAUGCUUAGGGUUGGAGAACCAGCUCCAGGGGCUGGUGAGUAGUCCUGUCCCCUGAAUCUGGACAUGGUAGCUCACUCUUCCUGAAGGAAACAUAAAAGCCCUUGAGGUGACUUACACCCAGCACUGCUGAUUACUUUUAGGUUAGGGAGGCCUAGGAGAAUACCAGUGAGUGCAGAAGGAUUGUUUUCUCAUGAAGAAUGAUCUAUAUCUGAGAUUAAGAUAUUACUAAAGGGCUAC